AAGUCAUAACAAGGUUUCUGUAGUUAACCUCAAAGGUGCCCAAAUGGCUCAAAUUGCUUGAAAAGUUGGGGAAGGAAGUUUAGUCUCUCUACAUUCUUUAUUCCUAACACCUGUGAAUCGUUGCUGAGUUUGCUCAGUGGCAACAUUUUUUAUACACACAUAAUAGUUUGAACGUAAAAAAUAUAUAUAAAAUACAA
rnacentral:misc_RNA from 1 species